rnacentral:misc_RNA from 1 species
GAUGAAGAACGCAGCGAAAUGCGAUACUUGGUGUGAAUUGCAGAAUCCCGUGAACCAUCGAGUCUUUGAACGCAAGUUGCGCCCGAAGCCACUAGGCCGAGGGCACGCCUGCCUGGGCGUCACACGCCGUUGCCCCCCCAUCUACUCCUUCGGGAUUGCGGGGGGGCGGAUGAUGGCCUCCUGUGCGCCUAGCCGCGCGGUUGGCAUAAAUACCAAGUCCUCGGCGACGCACGCCACGACAAUCGGUGGUUGCGAAACCUCGGUUGCCCGUUGUGUGCGUUCGUCGCGCAUCGAGGGCUCGAAAAAAUGCUCGGCUCCGGCUGGGCUUUCAACGCGACCCCAGGUCAGGCGGGGUUACCCGCUGAAUUUAAGCAUAUCAAUAAGCGGAGGA